AACGAACGCUGGCGGCACGCCUAACACAUGCAAGUCGAACGCAGUAGCAAUACUGAGUGGCAAACGGGUGAGUAUAAUGUGGGAAUCUGCCUUUUGGUUUGGAAUAACACGAGGAAACUUGUGCUAAUACCGAAUAAGCCUUUACAGGGAAAGUUUUAACGCCGAAAGAUGAGCCCGCACUUGAUUAGCUAGUUGGUAAGGUAAAAGCUUACCAAGGCAAUGAUCAAUAGCUGUUCUUAGAGGAAGACCAGCCACAUUGGGACUGAGACACGGCCCAAACUCCUACGGGAGGCAGCAGUGGGGAAUCUUGCACAAUGGGGGAAACCCUGAUGCAGCGAUGCCGCGUGAGUGAAGAAGGCCUUUGGGUUGUAAAACUCUUUCGUCGGGGAAGAAAAUGACUGUACCCGAAUAAGAAGGUCCGGCUAACUUCGUGCCAGCAGCCGCGGUAAUACGAAGGGACCUAGCGUAGUUCGGAAUUACUGGGCUUAAAGAGCUCGUAGGUGGUUAAAAUAGUUGAUGGUGAAAUCCCAAGGCUCAACCUUGGAACUGCCAUCAAAACUUUUUAGCUAGAGUGUGAUAGAGGUAAGUGGAAUUUCUAGUGUAGAGGUGAAAUUCAUA
rnacentral:rRNA from 1 species